rnacentral:tRNA from 4 species
GAGAGGUUAAGAAGGCCUGCUAACUCUUCAAUCUGGAAUAACAACCAGCCCUCUCU